CCCGAAACCAGACGAGCUACCCAAAAACAGCUGAAAGAGCACACCCAUCUAUGCAGCAAAAUAGUGGGAAGAUUUAUGGGUAGAGGUGACAAGCCUACCGAGCUUGGUGAUAGCUGG
rnacentral:ncRNA from 1 species